rnacentral:rRNA from 1 species
AUUAGCCAUGCAUGUCUCAGUACUAACCGCUUUAAGGCGAAACCGCGAAUGGCUCAUUAAAUCAGUUAUGGUUCCUUGGAUCUUACCCACACUUACAUGGAUAACUGUGGUAAUUCUAGAGCUAAUACAUGAACCUCGUACCCCGACCAGUGAUGGAAGGGGUGCUUUUAUUAGAACAAAACCAAUCGGUCGGUCUUCCGUCCGUUGCCUUGGUGACUCUGAAUAACUUUUGGCUGAUCGCACGGUCGUUGCACCGGCGACGCAUCUUUCAAAUGUCUGCCUUAUCAACUUUCGAUGGUAGGUUCUGCGCCUACCAUGGUUGUAACGGGUGACGGGGAAUCAGGGUUCGAUCCCGGAGAGGGAGCCUGAGAAACGGCUACCACAUCCAAGGAAGGCAGCAGGCGCGCAAAUUACCCACUCCCGGAACGGGGAGGUAGUGACGAAAAAUAACGAUACGGGACUCAUCCGAGGCCCCGUAAUCGGAAUGAGAACACUUUAAAUCCUUUAACGAGGAUCUAUUGGAGGGCAAGUCUGGUGCCAGCAGCCGCGGUAAUUCCAGCUCCAAUAGCGUAUAUUAAAGUUGUUGCGGUUAAAAAGCUCGUAGUCGGAGGUGUGUCUCGGACGGUCGGUUCGCCGCUUGUCGGUGCUCAACUGGCCGGUCCGGACGUCCUGCCGGUGGGGCCGCGAGGCCCCGUUAUCCUUCUUUGGUCCUCUUCACCGAGUGCCUUGGUGGGCCGGCACGUUUACUUUGAACAAAUUAGAGUGCUCAAAGCAGGCCGUUGGUCGCCUGAAUACUGUGUGCAUGGAAUAAUGGAAUAGGACCUCGGUUCCAUUUUGUUGGUUUUCAGAACUCGAGGUAAUGAUUAAUAGGGACGGACGGGGGCAUUCGUAUUGCGACGUUAGAGGUGAAAUUCUUGGAUCGUCGCAAGACGAACCGAUGCGAAAGCAUUUGCCAAGAACGUUUUCGUUGAUCAAGAACGAAAGUUAGAGGGUU